GAUGAAGAACGUAGCGGAAUGCGAUAAGUAAUGUGAAUUGCAGAAUUCAGUGAAUCAUCGAAUCUUUGAACGCACAUUGCGCCCGCCAGUAUUCUGGCGGGCAUGCCUGUUCGAGCGUCAUUACAACCCUCAGGCCCCCGGGCCUGGCGUUGGGGAUCGGCGGAGCCCCCCGUGGGCACACGCCGUCCCCCAAAUACAGUGGCGGUCCCGCCGCAGCUUCCAUCGCGUAGUAGCUAACACCUCGCGACUGGAGAGCGGCGCGGCCACGCCGUAAAACACCCAACUCUUCUGAAGUUGACCUCGAAUCAGGUAGGAGUACCCGCUGAACUUAAGCAUAUCAAUAAGCGGAGGA
rnacentral:misc_RNA from 1 species